GAUGAACGCUGGCGGCGUGCCUAAUACAUGCAAGUCGAGCGAACAGACCAGGAGCUUGCUCCUAUGACUUUAUCGGCGGACGGGUGAGUAACACGUGGUUAACCUAACUCUAAGACUGGGAUAACUUUGGGGAACCGGAGCUAAUACCCGAUAAUAUAUUGCACCGGAUGGUUCACUCGUUGAAGUAGGUUUUUCUUACACUUAAAGCUUGCUCCGCGCCGCAUUCGCUAGUUGGGAAGGUGACGGCUUAGCAAGGCAACGAGGCGUAGCCGACCUGAGAGGGUGAUCGGCCACACGGGCACUGAGACACGGUCCAGACUCCUACAGGAGGCAGCAGUAGAGAAUCUUCCGCAAUGGGGCAAAGCCUGACGGAGCAACGCCGCGGGAAUGAUGAAGGUCUUAGGAUCGGAAAACUCUGUUAGUAGGGAAGAACAAAUGUGUAAGUAACUAUGCACAUCUUGACGGUACCGAAUCAGAAAGCCACGGCUAACUACGUG
rnacentral:rRNA from 1 species